CAGGCGUCUAAGGCAAGUCCCACACUACAUCGCCUUACUGAUGAGUCUAAUAGUGUGGAACCAGGAGGACGAAACGCUGC
rnacentral:hammerhead_ribozyme from 15 species